GUCGUAUAGGCAGCACCGGUUCUCGAGCUGAUUUUAACUGCCUGGCUUCUUCUGCACGCUCACAUUUGCUUUGCAGCAUCGACCAGAAAGAAGGCUCCCCGUGUCUUCGGCCAUGGCCUCCGAUAGCCCCUCCUCCCAAGCAGCUUCCACCUACCUGACCGCGCACACCAACGAGAUGGUGGAGCUGCAGCACCUGAACGGCCGCUUAACCAGCUACAUCGAGAGGUUGCACUUCCUGGAGCAGCAGAACCAGACGCUGGCGGCGGAGGUGAAGCGGCUGCGAGGCCGUAAGCUCACGCGCUUUGAAAGGCUCAUGGAGCAGACUCCCCAGAAGGAGGACGUGGAGAGCAACCUGGCUGCUUCCGGGGGGGUGAGUCACCGUGUACUACUGUGGCUACACAUGCGUACUACUACACAAGUACAAGUACUCAAACUAUGACUCUACCUCUAGUCAUGAUCACACAUGAUAACUUCCUCCACCAGGUGACGCCUGUGUAGCGUGUCUCCACCCACAGCUUCUCCACAACGCAGAAGAAGCUCCUCCUGACGUUUCUCGUAUGUCUUCCUUCAUGUGCAGAGCUGCUGACCGUUAAAAGCAAUGUGGACGCCUCUGACCCGUUUGUCUUACUAUGCUAAAAAUCACAGCUCAACAUUGUUAAGGAACAACAAGGCAGCUCGCUGAGGUAGAGUGAAGAAAAGAGGAUGUCUUCAGAGAUACAGAACAGCGGAGCGAAGUGAAUGACCAGCGAGAGAAGAGGCCUAAGGGGCACGUGUGAGGGAGUAACGCUGUACAUCAGUAACAACGUUGUAUCUUUACCGUGAAGGACAUGAGUGAGUCUCUGUACCUGCAACAUCUGCUCCACCGUCAGCUUCAUCAACGGGUCGACAUCAUGUGAGGAGGAGCAGAGAGAAGAAGAGACGACGAGGGACAAGAACAUAGAGACUCUUCUGGGUUAAAGCGUGAGCAGCAGAGUGAUGCUGUUAUUCACUCUAUUGGGAUGUAUUUAUCUGUGGUUUAAUGUAUAUAUAUUAUAUUAUAUUUCCGAGAAUAACUGAGACGGACUUGAUUUGUUUUUUGUAUCAAUUCACAAUAAAAUGAACAUAAUUGCAUCAGAGAGGCUGCUGACAAAUAAAAGAAUUUUCCAAUGGCC
ensembl:lncRNA